rnacentral:rRNA from 1 species
CAAGUCGGUACGGGUAGUUUUUAACUCUAGUGGCGACGGGUGAGUAACACGUGAGAAUUUGCCUUUAGGAGGGGGACAACAGUUGGAAACGACUGCUAAUACCCCAUAUGCUUUCGAGUGAAAUGGAUUUAUAUUUAUCCGCCUAGAGAGAAGCUCGCGGCUGAUUAGCUUGUUGGUAAGGUAAGAGCUUACCAAGGCGACGAUCAGUAUCUGGUUUGAGAGGACGAUCAGACACACUGGAACUGAGACACGGUCCAGACUCCUACGGGAGGCAGCAGUGGGGAAUUUUCCGCAAUGGGCGAAAGCCUGACGGAGCAAUACCGCGUGAGGGAAGAAUGCCUAUGGGUUGUAAACCUCUUUUCAGGGAGGAAUAAAAUGACGUGUACCUGAAGAAUAAGCAUCGGCUAACUCCGUG